rnacentral:rRNA from 1 species
GGGAAACUGCCUGAUGGAGGGGGAUAACUACUGGAAACGGUAGCUAAUACCGCAUAACGUCGCAAGACCAAAGUGGGGGACCUUCGGGCCUCAUGCCAUCAGGUGUGCCCAGAUGGGAUUAGCUAGUAGGUGGGGUAACGGCUCACCUAGGCGACGAUCCCUAGCUGGUCUGAGAGGAUGACCAGCCACACUGGAACUGAGACACGGUCCAGACUCCUACGGGAGGCAGCAGUGGGGAAUAUUGCACAAUGGGCGCAAGCCUGAUGCAGCCAUGCCGCGUGUGUGAAGAAGGCCUUCGGGUUGUAAAGCACUUUCAGCGGGGAGGAAGGCAUUAAGGUUAAUAACCUUAGUGAUUGACGUUACCCGCAGAAGAAGCACCGGCUAACUCCGUGCCAGCAGCCGCGGUAAUACGGAGGGUGCAAGCGUUAAUCGGAAUUACUGGGCGUAAAGCGCACGCAGGCGGUCUGUCAAGUCGGAUGUGAAAUCCCCGGGCUCAACCUGGGAACUGCAUUCGAAACUGGCAGGCUAGAGUCUUGUAGAGGGGGGUAGAAUUCCAGGU